CGAAAGUGCUCUUGUUGAUUGAUUGGUUUGUUGUAUAAAAAACGCUAUUAUUUGUGUUUCAAUAAAAUGUUUUUAAUCAGUGGAAGGUUAUGCUUGUGUUGGGUCAAAAAAUAAACGAACGCUUAAGUCGUGAUAAGCCAGGAUGGCGCAAACCGAUAGUGUCACGUCGAUCCGGACUGAGAGUGUUGGCCAUUGUAUGCACAAACCGAAGCCCCAGUUCGACGCUUGCUUCUCCGAGUUUAGAGAUUCGGCCGUGGGCGUGUUGAUGUAUCAAAUCACGACCAGCCUGGACAAAGUUAUCAACAUAUCGCUAGGCAAAGCAAAUUCCUCCGAAAGUCAAGUCUUUCGGAUAGCGCUAGUCAAGGGAGUAUUCCUCACAGCGUGCAAGUGGCAUCUAUGAAAGAGCGACUUCUUGCCGAUAGUUACCCGCAGCUGAACAAUACGGGAAACAUUUCUGCUACUACACCCAACAAUAAUACCAACGGCUUUAUGGUUAACUUCAAAAAUCUCCAGAAGGCCAAAGCGACGUGCGAAGUGUAACUUGUGCAGCAUCCAACUAGCGCUAGAACUUUGAAAUGUUAUUCAAACCAAGUGUUUACUCGAAUGUUGAUUCAGAAUGAACUGUGUAAUUUGAG